AGAACCCUGCACUUCUGAGUUCUAAUCCACUGCCAUCUAUACUUCCAGCUCGCUGCCAUCCGAACCCAAGAACUGUCUGUAAAGGAACAACAAGUUUUCCCCAAUGAUGCUUGACCUUCACAAUUCAUUUCAAUCUUCAUCUUUGAAAUGUCUGAAAAGUGGCUUCUAGGA
rnacentral:lncRNA from 1 species